UAUUUAUCAAUAUAGUUAAUAAAAUAAUCUAGAAUUUUAUGUUAAAUAUAUAAUUAUAUUUUUGAUUAUUAUAUUUUGUUAUUUUAUUUAAGUUAAUUAAAUUGUAUUAUAUUUAAAUAUUUAAUUUGUUGUUUUAUAUUUAG
rnacentral:rRNA from 1 species